AGAGUUUGAUCCUGGCUCAGAUUGAACGCUGGCGGCAUGCCUUACACAUGCAAGUCGAACGGCAGCACGGGAGCUUGCUCCUGGUGGCGAGUGGCGAACGGGUGAGUAACAUAUCGGAACGUACCCUAGAGUGGGGGAUAACGCAGCGAAAGUUGCGCUAAUACCGCAUACGAUCUACGGAUGAAAGUGGGGGAUCGCAAGACCUCAUGCUCAUGGAGCGGCCGAUAUCUGAUUAGCUAGUUGGUAGGGUAAAAGCCUACCAAGGCUUCGAUCAGUAGCUGGUCUGAGAGGACGACCAGCCACACUGGAACUGAGACACGGUCCAGACUCCUACGGGAGGCAGCAGUGGGGAAUUUUGGACAAUGGGCGCAAGCCUGAUCCAGCAAUGCCGCGUGAGUGAAGAAGGCCUUCGGGUUGUAAAGCUCUUUUGUCAGGGAAGAAACGGUGGGCUCUAAUACAGAUCACUAAUGACGGUACCUGAAGAAUAAGCACCGGCUAACUACGUGCCAGCAGCCGCGGUAAUACGUAGGGUGCAAGCGUUAAUCGGAAUUACUGGGCGUAAAGCGUGCGCAGGCGGUUUGGUAAGACAGAUGUGAAAUCCCCGGGCUCAACCUGGGAAUUGCAUUUGUGACUGCCCGACUAGAGUGUGUCAGAGGGGGGUAGAAUUCCACGUGUAGCAGUGAAAUGCGUAGAGAUGUGGAGGAAUACCGAUGGCGAAGGCAGCCCCCUGGGAUAACACUGACGCUCAUGCACGAAAGCGUGGGGAGCAAACAGGAUUAGAUACCCUGGUAGUCCACGCCCUAAACGAUGUCUACUAGUUGUUGGGUCUUAAUUGACUUAGUAACGCAGCUAACGCGUGAAGUAGACCGCCUGGGGAGUACGGUCGCAAGAUUAAAACUCAAAGGAAUUGACGGGGACCCGCACAAGCGGUGGAUGAUGUGGAUUAAUUCGAUGCAACGCGAAAAACCUUACCUACCCUUGACAUGUACGGAAUCCCUGAGAGAUUAGGGAGUGCUCGAAAGAGAACCGUAACACAGGUGCUGCAUGGCUGUCGUCAGCUCGUGUCGUGAGAUGUUGGGUUAAGUCCCGCAACGAGCGCAACCCUUGUCAUUAGUUGCUACGAAAGGGCACUCUAAUGAGACUGCCGGUGACAAACCGGAGGAAGGUGGGGAUGACGUCAAGUCCUCAUGGCCCUUAUGGGUAGGGCUUCACACGUCAUACAAUGGUACAUACAGAGGGCCGCCAACCCGCGAGGGGGAGCUAAUCCCAGAAAGUGUAUCGUAGUCCGGAUUGUAGUCUGCAACUCGACUACAUGAAGUUGGAAUCGCUAGUAAUCGCGGAUCAGCAUGUCGCGGUGAAUACGUUCCCGGGUCUUGUACACACCGCCCGUCACACCAUGGGAGCGGGUUUCACCAGAAGUAGGUAGCCUAACCGUAAGGAGGGCGCUUACCACGGUGGGAUUCGUGACUGGGGUGAAGUCGUAACAAGGUA
rnacentral:rRNA from 1 species